AAGACCUUGCACUUUUGGAGCGGCCGAUGUCUGAUUAGCUAGUUGGUGGGGUAAUGGCCUACCAAAGCUUCGAUCAGUAGCUGGUCUGAGAGGACGGCCAGCCACACUGGGACUGAGACACGGCCCAGACUCCUACGGGAGGCAGCAGUGGGGAAUUUUGGACAAUGGGCGCAAGCCUGAUCCAGCCAUGCCGCGUGAGUGAAGAAGGCCUUCGGGUUGUAAAGCUCUUUCAGUCGGGAAGAAAAGGUUGCGACUAAUAAUCGCAAUUCAUGACGGUACCGGAAGAAGAAGCACCGGCUAACUACGUGCCAGCAGCCGCGGUAAUACGUAGGGUGCGAGCGUUAAUCGGAAUUACUGGGCGUAAAGGGUGCGCAGGCGGUUUUGUAAGUCAGAUGUGAGAUCCCCGGGCUUAACCUGGGAACU
rnacentral:rRNA from 1 species